UUAGCUCAUAUUUGUAUGGAGUUGGAACGUUUGCAUGCGUUUACCGCUAGGGGCACUGUUCGAACUGCAUACAAAAUUGGCUUA
rnacentral:pre_miRNA from 1 species